rnacentral:rRNA from 1 species
UACGUAGGUGGCAAGCGUUGUCCGGUAUUAUUGGGCGUAAAGCGCGCGCAGGCGGUCCUUUAAGUCUGAUGUGAAAGCCCACGGCUCAACCGUGGAGGGUCAUUGGAAACUGGGGGACUUGAGUACAGAAGAGAAGAGUGGAAUUCCACGUGUAGCGGUGAAAUGCGUAGAGAUGUGGAGGAACACCAGUGGCGAAGGCGACUCUUUGGUCUGUAACUGACGCUGAGGCGCGAAAGCGUGGGGAGCAAACAGG